rnacentral:rRNA from 1 species
CCUACGGGGGGCAGCAGUGGGGAAUAUUGGACAAUGGGGGCAACCCUGAUCCAGCCAUGCCGCGUGUGUGAAGAAGGCCCUCGGGUUGUAAAGCACUUUCAGUGAGGAAGAACGCCUGGUGGUUAAUACCCAUCAGGAAAGACAUCACUCAUAGAAGAAGCACCGGCUAACUCCGUGCCAGCAGCCGCGGUAAUACGGAGGGUGCGAGCGUUAAUCGGAAUUACUGGGCGUAAAGCGCGCGUAGGUGGCUUGAUAAGCCGGUUGUGAAAGCCCCGGGCUCAACCUGGGAACGGCAUCCGGAACUGUCAAGCUAGAGUGCAGGAGAGGAAGGUAGAAUUCCCGGUGUAGCGGUGAAAUGCGUAGAGAUCGGGAGGAAUACCAGUGGCGAAGGCGGCCUUCUGGACUGACACUGACACUGAGGUGCGAAAGCGUGGGUAGCAAACAGGAUUAGAUACCCCAGUAGUC